CCAACGGUAACGAUUUGUUUAGGAGAUAAAGAUACUCAGAGGCUUGUGUUGCAUAUGGAGAGGGACUUGACCAUGACCCCUACAACUCGGUGUUGUUGUGCAACAGAGCCACUUGCAGGUCCAAACUCGGUCAAUUUGAGAAAGCAAUCGAGGACUAGACUGCUGCCCUUAAUGUGCUCCCAUCUUACAGGAAAGCCAGAUUAAGAAGAGUCAAUUGCUAUGCCAAGGUUAUGGCAAGCAAGACAAAGAUCUACAUUGUGCUCGAGUAUGUUGGCGGGGGCGAGCUUUUUGACAAAAUAGCCAAACUAGGAAGACUUAAAGAGGAUGAAGCUAGGAGAUAUUUUUAGCAGCUCAUCAAUGUUGUAGACUACUAC